rnacentral:rRNA from 1 species
UACGAAGGGGGCUAGCGUUGUUCGGAAUCACUGGGCGUAAAGCGCUCGUAGGCGGAUCUUUAAGUCAGAGGUGAAAUCCCAAGGCUCAACCUUGGAACUGCCUUUGAUACUGGGGAUCUCGAGUCCGGGAGAGGUGAGUGGAACUGCGAGUGUAGAGGUGAAAUUCGUAGAUAUUCGCAAGAACACCAGUGGCGAAGGCGGCUCACUGGCCCGGUACUGACGCUGAGGAGCGAAAGCGUGGGGAGCGAACAGG